CAAGAGGGUUUUGUUUCUUGGUUCCAAGCCACAGAUCCUGAGCUCAGUGCUGAGAGCCGCCCCACCCUGGUAGACUGCCCUACUUUACAAUUUCUACUGGCUGCAGGCUGCGUGGGAAGGACACACGAGACCCUCCAGCCACGCAAUGGAGGCAGUGACCUUUGAGGAUGUGGCUGUGGGCUUCACCAUGGAGGAGUGGGCUUUGCUGGAUCCAUCCCAGAAGGAGCUCCACAGAGAUGUGAUGUGGGAGAACUUUAGGAAUGUGGCUGCUGUAGGAAGAAACUGGGAUAACCAGCAGCAAAUUGAAGAUGAGCACCAAAAUUACAGGAAAAAUCUCAGGUUCAAAGCAAGUCACUGAACAAGCCCACCACACUCAGGGCCAUGAGCCUGCACAAACCCUCCUCAUGGGCUCUGUUGCAGGGAGAACCAGUCAGCACAUGCUGUGGACAGCUGCUCUCAGAGUUGUGUAUUACAGCUCCACCUGCAACCUUCACAGAGGGAUGGAUGCUGCACCGCAGUGUCCAGAAGUUUCUGCUUCAGGGAUGUCCUCACAGGGCCUUCACCUCAUCCAUCUGGACCUGCUAGCUCAGUCUCACAUUCGUAUCUCUAGAGUGCAGGGCUGAAAACCUUUGCUUCCCUGAGGCAGUGAAGUCUAGCCCCUGCUGAGGCUGUGUCCUUCGCGUGCGACCUCUAGAAGCCGUCAUCCAACUUAGGGUGCAACCCACUCAAUGAAGCCAUUGUUAGGGCCGGCAGAUCCGGGUUCUGCUUUUACUUGUCAGACUCAACAUUUCAUUCAAAUUUGUUUUUUCUUUACUCUUGUUUUUAAAAUUAUUUCUAAAUUAUCAUAGAUAUUUUUAUAAGGAACCUCAACUUUUAUUGAUAAAAUAGGCACUGGUUAAUAAGAUAAUGUUACCUUUGUUUAUACCUUUAAUGAACUGCUCAGUUCUUCAGGAAAACAUUGUACAUAUUUACCAACUUUUAAAAUUAUAACAGUAGCUCAUGUUUAUUUUUGGAAAUAUGGUAAACAGAGAAAAUAAAGGAAAAUUUUCAUAAUCUUACCAGGCAGAAAUAAACCAAAAUGAAUGUUCUUCUAAUCCUUUACCCAUACAUAUAUUGAAAUUCACCAAAGUUAUUUACUUAAUUCUCAUUUUAUUUCCUGCUCAUUUCCCCACUGAACAUUAUGUUGGGAAGCCAUUCCUUUCUGUGCCACUGAGCACUUUUUCAAAAUGAUGUAUCCACAGGUUAUCUAUGCCAUAAUCUAUUGACUACCCACUUCUGUUGAACAUUUUAUUUUAGUUUUUCAUGUUUAGAAUAAUGUAAUGAAAAUAUUUGUAUAAUAUACCUUCAUCUGUAUCACUGAUUACAUCCUUAGGAUAAACUGUUAAAAGAAGCAUUACUUUAUUUAUAGUUCAUAAGAACUUUUGUUCAGAGGCCUAUAAAAAUUUGAACUCACAUUGGUGAUGGAGGAGCACACCCAAUUCCCAGCCCUGUGCCAGUACUGGAUUUACCAUGUUUUAAAAACAUGUUCUCACAGGCUUACAAAGCUAAUUAUAGGAGGUGAACUUGUCUUACUUUGCUUCUCUUAAAACAUCUCUCCAAACUUUUCAGCUUCUAAUUAAAAGCAAAAAUGCCUGAUUGAGUCAAUAUGUAUGGACCUCCCACUUGUGUGAACAAGGACCUUGAUUUUCAGUUUCUUCAGGCAGUGUCAGCUGGAUCAGUUUCUGGCUCAGGUAGGGAGUAAGACUUCCAUGUGCCAGGAGGCUCAGAAUUGCAAAUGUAGCCAACAAGAAGUAAAUCCACAGCUACACACCUUGGUGCAACGCCACCAUCUGUCAGAUACUAUUAUAAAUAAUGUCUUUGAGGCUUUUAAAGAUGUGUCUGGGAAAUGAGGAUAUGGAAAGUUCCCCUGGAGUGUCAGUUCUGAAAUGAAUUCUAGUGAAAGGUCACCAAUGAAGCUAGUCUUCUCCCAGAAUGGUGACUCAUGGAAAUUCCCAUAUUCCAUGAUGGAAGGUGAGAAGGUGAGAUGAAGAUAAACCUCCUCUUUGAGGUCUAUGUCACUAGUAAGGUAAUUAACUUUAGUGGCUGGUUUGAUGUCUUUGAUAUCCUUGCUGGAAGAUGAGCUAUAAAGGGGGAAAUUUUAGUUGAAUUAAGUUGCCCGAGGAAUAAGACAUUUUCCCCCAGACUGUAGGGUUAUCAAAGAACCCAGUAGGCAGGCAUUCCUAUGGGAAACUAGAGACAUUCCAGUGCCAACUAUUCUUGGCCAAGAGAGGUGAGAGGAGGUCUGGGCUUCAGGCUGGAGUAUCAUGCAAGACCACUUUCUUCUACUUAUAUGCUCAAAACUUCGGUUUCUCUGAGAGCUCUCAUGAGAACGAAGAGCAACCAGGACACUUUUCCUGCCUAAAAUGUCAGAAGUGACAGCAAUUGCUCUUUCUUAGGCCAUCCAAAAGUGUUCUGCAAGACAAGGAACCCACUCCCACUCCAGCAUCCAUGAACCCAGAACCCUCUGGUACCCACACUCCAGGCUGGCUCCCAUGCCAGCUCCUGUACCUCUCACUCCACUGCACAUAUGAAUGGGCAUAUAGCCACACAUGUGCAAAAGCACACAUGCAAACACAUGUGCCUGCCACUUCCUUCAUGCAUGCCCUUAGCCUAGUGGGAAUUUAUUGUUUUGUUGACGUGAAAUUCAGUUCAUUUUUCACUCCUAGUUCCUCUGUUUUUAGCAUUAUUGCACUGGCAUAGAGGAUGAAGGAAAUUUGACAAAGAUCAAGUCAUUCCUCUGGUUUGGGUAUUAUACACCCUUCAAAAAUGGACAAAACCUACAUUAUUCAAUAUCCACUGCUGUAUAUAUAGCACAGUGUAGUUGUCAUGGCCUAAGUUCACUAACACAUUUCAAAAUUUUACAGGAAAUAUUUUUAUUUUCUCUAGAUUUUAAAGAGGAAUUAGGGAAAUAAAUAUCUCUUCCCUCCUACCAAGGAGAAAAAAAGAGUGCAUUUUUGGCACAAUAAGGGUUCAGAGAAAGGGAAAAUAAACUAGGUGCUAUGGCUUUUAUCUAGAUGCUCUCCAAAAGCCUCAUUCAGUCUUAGGUAGAGAGUUUCAAAAAUGGCUAGAUUAGGGUGUGAAUAUGGAUUGAGGAUGUGAUACUGGGAUUAAGGGUGUGGAUAGUAAAAGCCUCAUCCUGAGUGUGGGUGUCACCAAUCAAUAAGCUUACAGCCUGGAUGGAAUAUAAAGGGGGAGAAAGAAGGCAGACUUGCUGCUGCUUGCUGCCUUCUGCCUACCCUGCCAUGGGCUGUUUCUCCUCUGCGAUGCCCCUCUGCCACGCCACCCUGCAUUGCAACCAUCUGAUUAUGGAUCGAAACCUCUACAAACCAUGAGCUGAAAUAAAUCUUUCCUCCUUUAACUUUGGGUGUUGAGAAUUCUGUCUCAGCAAUGAGAAAAAUUAAGACAGCAGGUAAACACAUGUCCCACUUUACCCCCAACAGAAUCCAUCAUGGAGGAGAAGCCAACAUACCAAGGCUGUGACCAUAUCAGCUCACUUCAUUAGUGCCAGAAAGGAAAUUCAAGGCUCCUUUUUGGUUUGGGUCCUAGAGACCUCAUCUCAACUUUUCCCCAGAAUUUGGGGCAAAAUUCAGAGAAACUUGGGAAGCAAACAACUAAGUUGAGACUGUGGCUCAAAGCUGAUUUUGACAUUUGCCCUGGGAUACACUACAGCACAGAACAACUUUCUCUCAUCUCAUCAUCCCAGAUUUCCCUCUACAGAGCACAUGCUCCAUGCUGUGGAAAAAUAUGCACACACUUUUGUGUUCUUCACAUCAUGACAUAGGCAGUUGGGGCCUUAGGGGAUGAGCCUCCAAAAGCCAACAAAAUGGGUCAAGGCUGUGGGACAGAAAGAAUUGUGUGUUAAUAGUAGAAGAGCUUCCCCAAACUGGUUGGUCCCAGGUGUUACUUGAUGCAUUAAUCCAGGAUGCUCAUGGCUGCAGGAUGGGCUCCUCCUGCCAAGAAACACACAGCAAACUCCAAGCCAAAAUGAGACUGCCAGCUCUGCAAGUCUCUUCUAUGGGUCCAGACAGGACCAGACAGGAUCCAAGACAGGAUCCAGAGCUGGCCUGAGGGCCCUGAGCAGCCCUUGCUGGGGCAGUGACAAGACCUUGUGGUCACCACCAUGGGCUUCCUCACUUCAUCAUUCAGAGUGGGUUUUGGCAUUAGGAUUAGUGUGAUUUAAUGCAAGCACAACAAUAACUUCCUCACCCACUGUCUAAAGCUUUGAGGGCCCAUCCAGUGCUGUUUAUGAGCUUUGGGUUCCAUCACAGGAUUGAGUUCUACUUAGCAGAUCCUCCCUGUCCUCUUGUUCCCUCCUUUCUUGAGGAGCUUCAUGUUGCCACUA